GAGUUUGAUCCUGGCUCAGGACGAACGCUGGCGGCGUGCUUAACACAUGCAAGUCGAACGGUGAUGUCAGAGCUUGCUCUGGCGGAUCAGUGGCGAACGGGUGAGUAACACGUGAGUAACCUGCCCCCGACUCUGGGAUAACUGCUAGAAAUGGUAGCUAAUACCGGAUAUGACGAUUGGCCGCAUGGUCUGGUCGUGGAAAGAAUUUCGGUUGGGGAUGGACUCGCGGCCUAUCAGGUUGUUGGUGAGGUAAUGGCUCACCAAGCCUACGACGGGUAGCCGGCCUGAGAGGGUGACCGGCCACACUGGGACUGAGACACGGCCCAGACUCCUACGGGAGGCAGCAGUGGGGAAUAUUGCACAAUGGGCGAAAGCCUGAUGCAGCAACGCCGCGUGAGGGAUGACGGCCUUCGGGUUGUAAACCUCUUUUAGUAGGGAAGAAGCGAAAGUGAC
rnacentral:rRNA from 1 species